UCGAGCGAAUCGAUGGGAGCUUGCUCCCUGAGAUUAGCGGCGGACGGGUGAGUAACACGUGGGCAACCUGCCUAUAAGACUGGGAUAACUUCGGGAAACCGGAGCUAAUACCGGAUACGUUCUUUUCUCGCAUGAGAGAAGAUGGAAAGACGGUUUACGCUGUCACUUAUAGAUGGGCCCGCGGCGCAUUAGCUAGUUGGUGAGGUAAUGGCUCACCAAGGCGACGAUGCGUAGCCGACCUGAGAGGGUGAUCGGCCACACUGGGACUGAGACACGGCCCAGACUCCUACGGGAGGCAGCAGUAGGGAAUCUUCCGCAAUGGACGAAAGUCUGACGGAGCAACGCCGCGUGAACGAAGAAGGCCUUCGGGUCGUAAAGUUCUGUUGUUAGGGAAGAACAAGUACCAGAGUAACUGCUGGUACCUUGACGGUACCUAACCAGAAAGCCACGGCUAACUACGUGCCAGCAGCCGCGGUAAUACGUAGGUGGCAAGCGUUGUCCGGAAUUAUUGGGCGUAAAGCGCGCGCAGGUGGUUCUUUAAGUCUGAUGUGAAAGCCCACGGCUCAACCGUGGAGGGUCAUUGGA
rnacentral:rRNA from 2 species